AUACUGAAACACCAGUUCCUGUACAAUCACUAAAGUUAAGCAAUAUUGAGCUUGGUUGGUACCUAGAUGGGUGACUGCUUGGGAAUACCAAAUGCUGUAAG